rnacentral:rRNA from 1 species
UACAGAGGGUGCAAGCGUUAAUCGGAGUUACUGGGCGUAAAGGGCACGUAGGCGGUUAAAUAAGUUAGUUGUGAAAUCCCUGGGCUUAACCUGGGAGCUGCAAUUAAGACUGUAGAACUAGAGUCGAAGAGAGGGAAGCGGAAUUUCCGGUGUAGCGGUGAAAUGCGUAGAUAUCGGAAGGAACACCAGUGGCGAAGGCGGCUUCCUGGCUUCAGACUGACGCUGAGGUGCGAAAGCGUGGGUAGCGAACAGG